rnacentral:rRNA from 1 species
GAACGAACGCUGGCGGCGUGCUUAACACAUGCAAGUCGAACGGGAUCCAGAGCUUGCUCUGGUGAGAGUGGCGCACGGGUGAGUAACGCGUGGAUAACCUGCCCUGGUAUCUGGAAUAACAUCUCGAAAGGGGUGCUAAUACCGGAUAAGCCCACGGGGUCUUCGGACUCUGCGGGAAAAGGUGGCCUCUGAAUAUGCUACCGUAUCAGGAUGGGUCCGCGUACCAUUAGCUAGUUGGUAGGGUAAUGGCCUACCAAGGCUACGAUGGUUAGCUGGUCUGAGAGGAUGAUCAGCCACACUGGAACUGAGACACGGUCCAGACUCCUACGGGAGGCAGCAGUGGGGAAUUUUGCGCAAUGGGGGAAACCCUGACGCAGCAACGCCGCGUGAGUGAUGAAGGCUUUCGGGUCGUAAAGCUCUGUCAGUAGGGAAGAAGUGUAAGGGUGCUAAUACCAUCUUUACUUGACGGUACCUACAAAGGAAGCACCGGCUAACUCCG